GCAGAUACAUAGUAAACAUGCUGUUUCAUAGACAUAUAUACUAACAUUGGAAAUCCACCUUGAGAAUUUGAUCAUUUCGGCGCAGUUCCAUGCUAUAUAGGCUCGGUGUAAUGUUGCCUGACCAGCUUGCGGAAAGCUUAAGAACCUCUGCCAGGUGCUAGUUACACCCCACACCGUGCUCCUGGACUCCCGGGUGCACUUACGAACGGGAACUCAGUGCUGCAUCUUCACAGAGCAAAACAUAGCGUGAUGAACGAUCCGUUGCAUCAUCUAUUUUGACAAGACCCCUACGCAGAUCAAUAGCCGCGUGCCCAUCCCCUUGCGGGGUAUUCGAAUCCUGUGCUCGCCUUGUUGCAUAGAAUGCGGAUUGUCGGACCAUCCCCGCGUUGCGCUCAGGUUGAGGUAGGCUUCUUGAGCUUCUUUCGCACACGAUAUAUCUAUAUUCCGCAUCUUGCUUCCAAUCGGCUUCUUGAGAGCUUGAAAAUACCCAAGGGUAUAUCCUAACCACUAGAUACGAGUAUAUCUAUAACACAUCUUCAUAGCGUCGAGCCAGAAUGACCGAAUGCCGCGUUAUCCCUCUCAACAAGGGCUGGGUUUUCAGGCAGGCAGACGAUGAAAAAGCAGAGUUUUUGCCCGUUUCCCAGUUCCCAACUAACGUCCACCUGGACCUGAUGCACCAUGGACUCAUCGCAGACCCUUUCCUUGGCAAGAAUGAAUUCGAUGUGCAAUGGGUUGGAGAGAAAGCCUGGGUAUAUACCACCUCCUUCGAUACUCCGGCGCUCAAAGGAGGGGAAAAGGCAGUUCUGGCAUUCGGCGGUCUCGAUACACAUGCGACAGUGCGCCUGAAUGCCACGAAGAUCCUCGAAACGGAAAACAUGUUCAUACCUGAGCGUAUUGAUGUUACGGAACUGCUUCGAGAAUCGAAUGGCCCAAAUGUGUUAAACGUCACGUUUGAGAGCACGUUUCUACUCGGAAAAAAGAUCAAAGAGCAGUAUCCAAACCAUCACUGGACUUGUUGGAAUGGAGACUCCAGCCGCCUUGCCGUGCGGAAGGCGCAGUACCAUUAUGGCUGGGACUGGGGCCCGACUCUCAUGACCUGCGGACCCUGGCGCCCUGUUGAUCUCGAAAUAUACAGUGCUCGCAUUUCAGAUCUCCAUUUCCGACAAAAUGUGGAAAAAUCCCUGAAACAGGCAGAAUUAGUCGUCACUGCAGAGGUAGAAGGUGAUGCAGAGAACGUGACAUUUCACAUCGAAUUAGAUGGCGAAGAGAAAGGUGCAGAGACAGUCGAUAUCAAAGAUGGUGUCGCAACUAUGACCUUCCAUGUUCAAGACCCCCAGCUAUGGUACCCAUGGAGGUAUGGCAAUCGGCCCCUCUACACGCUGUGUGCGACCGUAUCAUCGAAUGGAGUAAAACUCCAUUCCACAAGCAAACGCGUAGGCCUUAGGAGAGCAGAACUUAUCCAAAGAAGGAUGGACAAUACCGAUGGCACUUCUUUUUUCUUUGAGAUUAACAAUAUCCCCAUUUUCUGUGGAGGGAGUAACUGGAUUCCUGCGGACAACUUCAUUCCCCGUAUUUCGCGCCAAAAGUACUACGACUGGGUAAAGCUGAUGGUUGACGGCAAUCAGGUGAUGGUCAGAGUCUGGGGGGGUGGUAUAUUUGAGGAACAAGCCUUUUACGACGCCUGCGACGAGCUGGGUCUAUUGGUCUGGCAGGACUUUCUUUUCGGAUGUGGAAACUAUCCAGCGUUCUCUAGCUUCCUAGAAAAUGUGAAGCGUGAAGCGAUUGCAAAUGUCAAGAUUCUCAGACAUCAUCCGUCAAUUGUGAUACUGGCCGGAAACAAUGAAGACUACCAGUUCGCAGAGAGCGAGAAGUUGAAAUGGGACCCCAACGAUAAUGACCCUAUCAGCUGGUUGAAAUCCGAGUUUCCAGCACGAUAUAUUUACGAAAAGAUCUUGGUUGACGUGACGAAAGAUUUGAUACCAGAUACGUACUAUCAUUACGGCUCGCCCUGGGGUGGGAAGAGUACAGCUGACCCUACGAUCGGAGAUAUCCACCAGUGGAAUGUUUGGCACGGCAGUCAAGAGAAAUAUCAAGAUUUUGAUAAACUCUGCGGCCGAUUCAUCUCUGAAUUUGGCAUGCAGGGCUUUCCCGACAUGGGAACCAUCGAUGGCUACCUAACUGGUGGUAUAUCGGACCCUGAAAGACACCCCCAAUCGUCCACCGUCGAUUGGCACAACAAAGCCGCAGGCCACGAGCGCCGCCUUGCAACCUACCUAACCGAAAACAUCAAGUACAACCAUGAGCCCUUCGAACAGUAUGUCUACGCUACACAGCUCAUCCAAGCGGAAUGCCUCUCUACUGCCUACAGGCUCUGGAAACGCCAAUGGAAAGGACCGGCCCGUGAAUACUGCGCCGGUGCUUUGGUCUGGCAAAUGAACGACUGCUGGCCCGUUACGUCUUGGGCCAUUGUCGAUUACCACCUGCGUCCUAAACCUGCGUACUACUCCGUGAAGCGCGAACUGGCUCCAAUCACGAUAAGCUUGAAGAGGACAUCCCACACAGAAUACGUGGACAAGUACACCAACGUUUAUUACAAGACAACGCACAAAGUCGAGGUGUGGGCUACGAAUCUCACGGCUGAACCGAGAAAUGUAAAUGUGGUGCUUAGGACCUGGGACUUGAUCACAGGCGCCGAAACUUCCUCUGAAGUACUGAAGAGCCGUUUCCUUCUGAAGGAGAAUAGGAGUACGGAGAUUACUGAGUUCAAAAUACCUAUAAAGGGCAAAAAAGGAGAGACCAAGGAUGGAGAGGAGGUAAACCGUACCAUUGUUGCGGCAUACCUGAUCGAAAACGGCAUGCAAGUAGCGCGCUACGUCA
rnacentral:sRNA from 1 species